AGGAAGGUAGUGCAGUUAACACCUGCAUUAUUUGACGUUACCUACACGAAGAAGCACCGGCUAACUCCGUGCCAGCAGCCGCGGUAAUACGGAGGGUGCGAGCGUUAAUCGGAAUUACUGGGCGUAAAGACGCAUGCAGCGGCCUGUUAAGUCAGAUGUGAAAGACCCGGGGCGUUAACCUACCGGAAUUGCAUUUGUAAACUAGGCAGGCUAGAGUCUUGUAGAGGGGGGUAGGAAGUUUCAGGUGUAGCGGUGAAAUGCGUAGAGAUCUGAAGGAAUACCAGUGGCGAAGGCGGCCCCCUCGGACAAAGACUGACGCUCAGAUGCGAAAGCGUGGGGAGCAAACAGGAUUAGAUACCCUGGUAG
rnacentral:rRNA from 1 species